GAGCAUCUCGGCGUUUCUCCAGCUCAACCGAGACCUCAGUCGCUUCCUGUUCCACUUCUCGUUCUCACUGUCGGAGUCCCUCCGCACCUUGACGCUCCCCACCGCCGCGGCGUGUCACACUUGGCGAUGGUGUGGAGGUUAUCAGUUCUGCUAACGUGAAGUUGCCCCCCCCCCCCGCGGUCCUCACCCCGAGCUGUGGCCACCUCCCCUUCGUGCCAGGCCAGGCAGUGGAAGGCGGUCGGCGCGAUGCCAACGGGGAAGCUGAUCUCCAUCCCCUGCACCGUGGUCCGCGUGUCGCUCACGGACACGUCCCGCAGGAUACGAGGCCUCAGGCGGAUCCUGGGUGUGAACAUGUGACGGGGUGAUAUGGGACAUGGAUGGGGUGGGGUCAGCAACUUAUAAUGAGCUAAAGAAAAAUACUGAGGAUUGGAGCAAGUGAUAAUGAUGAUGAGGGCAGUGCCUCAAAAAAUUAUUUUCCUUUUUGUGAUUAAUGUCCAGAACAUUUUCCUCUGCAAAUCACCAGUGAAAGUUUCCUUUGGACAAAUGCUUUGCUUUGUUUAACAAAACAUGAACCAAAGAUAUUCAAGUUACUGUAGAAACAUUAAAACAUCUAAUUUUCUUUACCAAAUUUUUUUUCUUUUUUGUCACACUGAUCCAAAAUUCUCAAUAAAUUCCAAAACUAAAACAA